GAUGAACGCUGGCGGCGUGCUUAACACAUGCAAGUCGAACGAUGAAGCCGGAGCUUGCUCUGGUGGAUUAGUGGCGAACGGGUGAGUAACACGUGAGUAACCUGCCCUUGACUCUGGGAUAAGCGCUGGAAACGGCGUCUAAUACCGGAUACGAGCUUCCACCGCAUGGUGAGUUGCUGGAAAGAAUUUCGGUCAAGGAUGGACUCGCGGCCUAUCAGCUUGUUGGUGAGGUAACGGCUCACCAAGGCGACGACGGGUAGCCGGCCUGAGAGGGUGACCGGCCACACUGGGACUGAGACACGGCCCAGACUCCUACGGGAGGCAGCAGUGGGGAAUAUUGCACAAUGGGCGCAAGCCUGAUGCAGCAACGCCGCGUGAGGGACGAAGGCCUUCGGGUCGUAAACCUCUUUUAGCAGGGAAGAAGCGAAGGUGACGGUACCUGCAGAAAAAGCACCGGCUAACUACGUGCCAGCAGCCGCGGUAA
rnacentral:rRNA from 1 species